AGUUUGACUGGCAGCUGACAACACAAAGAACUUUUAUUCUAGAGAAAUAAAGUCAUUGUUGUGUGAAGUUCAUAAUAUUUAUAUGGAUGGACAGACUUAUGAGUAGGUAGAUCAGUGGAUAUAUAGAAGAACAGCAAAGUAUAAGCCAUAGACUCACCGUAUCACUGUUGACAUACUGUAUACAACUGAUUGACACAUCCCCAUUGAUAAAUAUAAAGUUGGCUUCGUGCAUGUCAACUCGAUGAUUGAAAGCAUAGAAAGAUCUGUUUUUAAAUUUACUUAUAUAAAGACACCACCAUGGAAGAAAUGUUUCAAUGGGAGUUACGAUUUCCCCAGACGUGACACAAUAAUGGACUAUCCUGACCAGGGCAUGUAACCAUAGACUCUGCGACUUGACAACUCAACUUAAAAGCAAUGCAGGACCAGGCGAGAACACAUUGUGAAUUUAAUGUAGCGAAAUAAUGGAUUGUCCUAACCAGGACACUCCCCCCUCCCCCUUUACGUCGUACACAAUAGUCCUACAUACAAUCUGGAGUAGUCUUCGACUUUCAGUUCUUUAUCGAAAUAUUUUAAAGACUCUAGGAUGUUUUGUGCCGGAUCCAUUUUUAGCGGCCCCCGUAAGGGGAAAAAGCCGCUAUUAGGUUUGUGCAAAAUGUCCGUC